rnacentral:rRNA from 1 species
AAAUAGAUUAAAAUAAUUAAGGGCACACAAAGGAUGCCUUGGUAGUAAGAGCCGAUGAAGGACGUGGUAAGCUGCGAUAAGCCUAGAUAAGUUGCAAUCGAACGUAAGAGUCUAGGAUUUCCGAAUGGAGCAAUCUAUUAAGAUGGAGUCUUAAUACGAAAGAGGGAACCGCGUGAACUGAAACAUCUAAGUAACGCGAGGAAAAGAAAGUAAAAACGAUACCCAAAGUAGCGGCGAGCGAAACGGGUCAAGCCUAAACCUUAAAUAUGUCAAGGAUACAGCCGUUGUAUUUAAGGGGUUGAGGGACAGAGUGAUGAAGAACUGUAAGAUAUUCAAUAUAGUGUAUUGAUGAACUAGAAUAGUCUGGAAAGGUUAACCGUAGAAGGUGAAAGUCCUGUAUAGGUAAAUCCUUACACAUAUAACUUUGAUCCCAAGUAACAUGGAACACGAGGAAUUCUGUGUGAAUCAGUGAGGACCAUAUCUCAUAAGGCUAAAUACUCUUACUAACCGAUAGCGCAUAGUACCGUGAGGGAAAGGUGAAAAGAACCCCUGGAGGGGAGUGAAAUAGAACCUGAAAUUGUGUGCUUACAAGCGGUCAGAGCCAGUAAUGGUGAUGGCGUGCCUUUUGGAGAAUGAUCCUGCGAGUUACGUUAAACGGCAAGGUUAAGUAUUACGGAGCCGAAGGGAAACCAAGUCUUAAUAGGGCGAUUUAGUCGUUUGGCGUAGACGCGAAACCUGGUGAUCUAAACCUGUCCAGGAUGAAGCUGUGGUAAGACACAGUGGAGGUCCUAACCCACCGCCGUUGAAAAGUUGGGGGAUGAGGUAGGUUUAGGGGUGAAAAGCCAAUCGAACCAGGAGAUAGCUCGUUCUCUCCGAAAUGCAUCUAGGUGCAGCCUUGAGUGUUCAAUUAUGGGGGUAGAGCACUGAAUGAUCUAGGGGGCAUAUUGCUUACUGAAAUCAAUCAAACUCCGAAUACCAUAAUUUAUAGCUCAGGAGUGAGACUAUGGGAGUUAACUUCCAUUGUCAAAAGGGAAACAACCCAGACCACCAGCUAAGGUCCCUAAUUAUAACUAAGUGGGAAAGGAGGUGGAGAUUCACAAACAACUAGGAGGUUGGCUUAGAAGCAGCCAUACCUUUAAAGAGUGCGUAAUAGCUCACUAGUCGAGAGUCUCUGCGCCGACAAUGUAACGGGGCUAAGUUAUAAACCGAAGCUGUGGAAUCCGUAAGGAUUGGUAGGAGAGCGUUCUGUAGGCCGUUGAAGGAGAAGGGUAACCGACUUUGGAGGUAUCAGAAGUGAGAAUGCAGGAAUAAGUAGCGAGAAAGGGGGCGAGAAUCCCCCUCGCCGGAAGACCAAGGUUUUCAGGGUAAAGCUUGUCUUCCCUGAGUAAGCCGGGACCUAAGCCCAGGCUAUAAUGCGUAGGCGAAUGGAAAACAGAUUAAUAUUUCUGUGCCAGUCAUAUAUUGUGAUGGAGGGACGCAGAAGGGUAUGCGCGCGGACGAACGGAAGUGUCCGUAGAAGUAUGUAGGAUGACUUAGUAGGAAAAUCCAUUAAGUUAUAUCUGAGGUAUGAUAUAUAGUCGUAAGAUGAAUGCGCAAAUCCCACGCUGCCAAGAAAAGCUUCUAAUGUUAAUUUAUGACUGCCCGUACUGCAAACCGACACAGGUGGUCAGGAUGAGAAAUCUAAGGCGGACAGGCUAACUCUCGUUAAGGAACUCUGCAAAAUAACCUCGUAACUUCGGGAGAAGAGGAGCCCUUGGGUGUUAGUAUCCAUGCGAUACAAAGCGCUCGAGGGUCGCAGUGAAGAGGCUCAAGCAACUGUUUAACAAAAACACAGGUCUAUGCUAAGCUGGAAGGCGAUGUAUAUGGGCUGACACCUGCCCAGUGCUGGAAGGUUAAGAGGAGGAGUGAGAGCUCCGAAUUGAAGCCCCAGUGAACGGCGGCCGUAACUAUAACGGUCCUAAGGUAGCGAAAUUCCUUGUCGGGUAAGUUCCGACCUGCACGAAUGGUGUAAUGAUUUGAGCGCUGUCUUGACGGGAGGCCUGGUGAAAUUGUAUUACCGGUGAAGAUACCGGUUACCUACAGUAGGACGGAAAGACCCCAUGGAGCUUUACUGUAGCUUGGUAUUGGGUUUUGGCAUUGCAUGUAUAGGAUAGUUGGGAGACUGAGAUGAUAUGGCGCUAGCUGUAUCGGAGUCAUCGGUGGAAUACCAACCAUUCAAUGCUGAAAUUCUAAUCUGUGGUUUGUAGCCACGGAGACAGUGCUAGGUGGGCAGUUUGACUGGGGCGGUCGCCUCCGAAAGAGUAACGGAGGCGUUCAAAGGUUCUCUCAGGUUGGAUGGAAAUCAACCAUAGAGUGCAAUGGCAUAAGAGAGCUUGACUGCAAGACUGACGGGUCGAGCAGAUGCGAAAGCAGGACAUAGUGAUCCGGCGAUUCCGAAUGGAAGGGUCGUCGCUCAACGGAUAAAAGCUACCCUGGGGAUAACAGGCUGAUCCUACCCGAGAGUCCAUAUCGACGGUAGGGUUUGGCACCUCGAUGUCGGCUCAUCGCAUCCUGGGGCUGGAGAAGGUCCCAAGGGUUGGGCUGUUCGCCCAUUAAAGCGGUACGUGAGCUGGGUUCAGAACGUCGUGAGACAGUUCGGUCCCUAUCCACUGUAGGCGUUAGAAUAUUGAGAAGACCUGUCCUUAGUACGAGAGGACCGGGAUGGACAAACCUCUGAUGUACCAGUUGUCACGCCAGUGGCACAGCUGGGUAGUCACGUUUGGAAUAGAUAACCGCUGAAAGCAUCUAAGCGGGAAACUAACUUCAAGAUAAGUAUUCUUUAAGAUACCUUCGAGCCUAGGAGGUUAAUAGGUUGGGGGUGUAAGUACAGCAAUGUAUUUAGCUGACCAAUACUAAUUAUCGAAGUUUUAAUCUAAUUUGUUUUUACUAUAUAGUUUC